rnacentral:rRNA from 1 species
UACGUAGGGUGCAAGCGUUAAUCGGAAUUACUGGGCGUAAAGCGUGCGCAGGCGGUUCGCUAAGACAGAUGUGAAACCCCCGGGCUUAACCUGGGAACUGCAUUUGUGACUGGCGGGCUAGAGUAUGGCAGAGGGGGGUAGAAUUCCACGUGUAGCAGUGAAAUGCGUAGAGAUGUGGAGGAAUACCGAUGGCGAAGGCAGCCCCCUGGGCCAAUACUGACGCUCAUGCACGAAAGCGUGGGGAGCAAACAGG